rnacentral:misc_RNA from 1 species
GCCAGAGAUCCGUAGGCAAUUCAUCCAUGGAUCUUAUAUGUUGACCAGGAUCACCAGUCACCCGUGUAACUUCACCAUGGGAUCCAGGUAAGCUUUGCUGAUUGCGCUUGUGCACAUGGGGAUCUAAAGCACCCAUGAUGCCGAGAACCUUCAAAACCUCUCUUCUUGUUGACCAAGCCAGUUCACCAUUGAGCAGUUUCAAGAGCAAACCAAGCAACUGAGGAUACUCAUUGUAUGGAGUAAUGACAUAUCCUGUACUCUGUACAACUUGACCAAGUGUUGAAACAGCCACUUCACGUUUGGUAACAGCAGCCCCAUCCAAUAGAGCUUCAACAAUUAAUGGCAUAAGUUCUGAAAUAUACUGUCGCAUGGCAAAGCCACCCACUCUUGCGAGAUCUCCAACAGUCACUAGGACUCCACUAAUAAUGCCACUAUUUGCAUUGACCCCUGUGCCCUCACAGAGUUUUGCGACAAGAGCCUUGUGUAUAGGAGAAACGUAUGGAAGAACUAAGCGUUCACAAUUGCGAAUCAAGCAACCCAAUAACUUUGCACUCUCUUCUUUACACUUAUUGUCUGCACUUUGUUCUAGGUAAGUCAACAGCUGAAUAAGAUGGCGACGAAGGGCUGGUAGAACAUAUGCUG